CAAGGUUGGUGCUUUUUGGGCCUCCCAUCUUUGGACCUGUCUGAAAUAAUCCACAUUCCACACUUUUUCCCCAUCCUCCCAAAGCUAUACCUCACAAUCAAAAACCUAACAGUCUCUUCGGGGGUGCUGGGAAGUGGAGGAAUUUAUCUGUUAACUGAUUUUGCAAAAGCAUUAUCAGGUAAUAGCAUUGUGUGCAACCUGUCUUCUGUGAGCAAUAGAGAUAUAUUACCUGACAUAUUACCAGAGCCCUAAAUGGUGACCCUUUGGGAAUUUGAACUCUGGAAGCUCAGAAUGUGGGUGAGGGCAACAAACUAAUAACUAUUGGUCUCUAGAGACCCGUAACAGCACCAGGGAGCGACUAUUAUCUAGCCCUAUGAAUAAAUUGUAGGAUUGUAUAACAGAAUUACUAGUUCCUUCCUCUAACUACGUUUUAAGGAGAGUAUAAUGAAGAGGUAGGACUUCCUGGGAAAGAAGAGCCAAAAGAAUGGCUCUUAAAUGUUUCUGUAUUUUGAUGAUAUGCUAGCAAAAUAUAAGGGAAAAUAGCUGCAAGGAUAAAUGAGAUAAUAACAACCAUGGAUCAUUUUUAGUUCCUGGGAAGAAAAGCACCAUAUAGAUUUGAGGUGUUAUUAUUAUGCAUACAAUAUAUAUAUAGACAUUGUAUAUUUAUUCAGAGUGAAGCUCACAUAUGUCAUUCCCACUAAUAACAUUUCUUUUCUAGCUCCCGCGUAAGAGGAGAUAUGCCAUUUUCAUAUGUUCCACACAUACUCAGAGGAACCUGCUUAGAAUAUUUUUGCUGAUGAAAUUUUCCAGGUUGUAACAUUUAUCUUUUUGAAGAGCUUGCUUCCUGCAACCUCACGUGGAGAUCUGUGCUUUUACCUCUCAUUGUGAUGCUAUCUACAUGUGGAUUUUUGUGUCAACUGCUUAUCUUAGCCAUUAACCAAAUUUUUUGUCUGUUUGUAUUGUUUAUAAAGUGUUGGGCAUACAUAGUGUUUCGCCAAUGCAUGGAGACCUGGCUCCCUGCCCCAUGGAGUGCACCAUCUAAUGAAAAUGGACAAGCCCAGCACAAUAGAAGUAACACAGAUAUGAGACCCAGAAAGAUGCUGCUGGCUUGGGAUUGAGGGUGGGCCAGCCAGGGAUUAAGUGGAGGAUCUGAAGAAAGACAGGAAAGCAUUUGGGAGAAAAUUAGAUGGAGGAUGUUCUAACAGAGGCACGCAGGUACCACAUAUACUCAGUCAGUUUUUAUACAAACACGGGGCUGGAAGAAGGCGGUACAGGUUCCCUGUCCAUUCUAUCUCCCUGAGCAGAGUGUUUCACUCCCUUCCUCAGUCCUUCAGCCUCUGAUUGAUCAUUCUUGGGGGUGGGGACAGGCCAGUUAAGUGUGGAUCUUUGCAGAGCAAGUGCUUAAUCUCCAGCUGGCUUCCUUUGCCACCCAGCAUGCUUCUGAGUGGCUCACUGCCUACGCUGUCACUUGCUGGGCGCUCGAAGAAUGCAAAUUCACUUGGGCAAAGCAUAAUAGAGAAAUUAAAUAUGCUGCAAAUAGAGGGGCACAUAUUUUAUAUUUUAUUCUCAACUAAAAAUAAACCAUUUGGGGUUACGUGUAAUUGCUCUCUUGGAUUUUUCACUUCAUUGGCAUUUCUCUUUAGAAUGGAUAAUUAGAAACUCCAAGCUUAAUUUAUACAUACAGUCUUACACAGUUUUCAAGUGAGAAAACUUGCAUCAACUUUCAAUAUGUGUGCAUAUAUCGUCCACAUGGAGCAACAUUAGUAUGGGAGGAAGAGAAGGAGGAGGAGGAAUGGGCAGGCAGGACUCGGGUGAAUUUAGAAGGAAAGCUGACUGCAAAGGAGGGCAGAAAUGGAGGGCAGGCCAGACACUGAUUCGUGGUCUGACCUUGGACAGAAUCACCUUAGCUCUCUGUGCUUCCAUUUCUCUGUCUGAUUAUGUGCUUCGUAAACAUUCAGUUACCUUGGAGGUGUGGUUGAAGAGGUAGGGCAGAGGCAACCCUGGGAAUCAUUUUGUUGUCUGUGAAUGAAUUCUAUCCAGUCCAGCAUCCCUUGGGAGCACCUGGUCUCCCUAUAUUUAAAAAAAAAAAAAAUCCACUAUCUGCACUUUCCUUCAGACAGACUCUAGGGUGACUGUGUGUGACAGGAGGGAGGAUCCAUGCCUGGCUCAGUUUCCUGCCGCUGUGGAAAGGACAUCAGGGGACCUUGUUUACAUAAGAAGAUAAUGUGGCUGCCUCCCUGUGCCUCAGAACUGACUGUGACCCGAGGACUCCUCCUACACGUCUCUGGACGGAUCCUUGGCUCCAUUCUCCAGCUGCACAGUCAGGAGCUUGGAUGUGCCCUGAAGCCUGUACUCGCUGCAGGAGAGCUUCAUAAAGUUGAGAAGGCAGCAAGUGGCCCAGAGCAUGUGAUGAGCAGAGGGAGGAAUGAACAUAGAAACAAAAAACAAACAAACAAAAAACAAAACAAAACAAAACAAAAAAGCAAGCAAGCAACCAAGCAAGAAGGAAAGAAAGAAAGAAAAAGAGGUAGGGGUGGAGUCUGCCCUGCUGUCUCCACAGCCUCCUUUACAGUGUAUUCCUUCUCUCUGGUCAUAAUGACUUGACCCAUGUUUACCGAAUGCUAACAUUAUGCCCAGCACCGUGCUGAGUACUUUACAUGACAUUCAUAGCCAAGUUCCCACAGGUUAUAUGAGGAUUUUAGAGGAAGAAUUAGAGAGGUUAAGAAGCUCAUCUGAAAUCAGAUGCUAGUAAAUGAGAGGCCAGAUUUGAAUUCAGAACAUAUCCUCCAAAGCCACUAUUCAUACUGUCAUUUUUCUGACCACCCUCUUUUCUCCAAGUGCCUAAUGGCUCAAAUUGCCCCCUGGCCUUUUUUAGCUCUUUGAGUCUCAUUGCACUACCUCACUUCUUAUCCCUUUUAUUAAUCCAGACUUACAUGGUUCUGUAUUUAUUCACCCAAAGGUUUCCUUUUUCUGACAGAAGAAACUAAUUUCUACUAAAGUGUUAAUUACUACCAAGGAGUAAUCUUUAACUUUAAACUGAAAACCUUCUGCGUUGUCACAGUGGAUUAGCAUUCUUUAAGACGAAGGAGAGAUAAAUUUAUAAGCUUCAUGCAUUAUCUGGACCAGUGAGAGAGAAAAUGUGGGGUUAGGGAAAGGAGAAUGGGGCAUUCAUCCUUGCACCCUGUGAAUAACAUUAUCUUAUGAGACUUAUAUAUAAUAAAUAUUCAAUAAAUGUUUGCUGAAAAAUUA